ensembl:lncRNA
UAUAGAUCUGCCCCAUGUGAGGAGACCUACGACCUCUGUAUAGAUCUGCCCCAUGUGACGAGACCUAUGACCUCUGUAUAGAUCUGCCCCAUGUGACGAGACCUACGACCUCUGUAUAGAUCUGCCCCAUGUGACGUGACCUACGACCUCUGUAAAGAUCUGCCCCAUGUGAGGAGACCUAUGACCUCUGUAUAGACCUGCCCCGUGUAACGUGACCUAUGACCUCUGUAUAGAUCUGCCCCGUGUGACGUGACCUACGACCUCUGUAUAGACCUGCCCCAUGUGAUGUGACCUACGACCUCUGAUCCCCAUCUGCUAUCACCGCUUUAUAAGACAUAAUUUAACGAGAAUUAGUUUCCUAAACAUUUACAAAACAGCCCAAGUGCUGCACUUCUCACAAACAAAUUACAUACAAACACUAAUAGAAGACUGAACUGACAAAUGGUCUCACACACACACACACACACACACACACGUUAUAAGACAAUAAAUAUAAGACAACCAAAUCAUUUCUCAUUUCCUUUAUUAAAACAAAAGCACCAAAAAGGUCAUCUUGGGUAUUUUAUGAAGCAGGGAGGAGAGGCGCCAGGUCGAAAACCAAUAAUGAACACUUCCAACUACACAGAGCCCAUAACAACCUGCACCCAUCACCCAUCAGCUACAUUCAAUAGAGCCAACGGUGCGAAUCAUAGAACUAGAUUCAAUAGAACGAACAGCCUCUCCUCCUAUACCUCCCCCAGAGCAGAAACCCUAGUAUAAAACUGAUGCUCUUUCCUCGUGGUUACAUAGGUAAUACAACACACAAGCCAACACAAAGCAUUUCACUGUAUUUAAAAAUGAGUUUUGGUUUGCACUGAUAUACAGUUUUAAAAACAUGACAGCUUGGAUUCCCUUUUCAAUGGUUCAUCACACAAUGGAGGCACAACAAAACAUCUGAAAUAAAUGUCUACAUGAAAUGCUAAAUAACUUAUUACCUUUGAUAAUGAUACAGUAUUUGAUGCUAUAACCUAGUCUAAA